CAGCAGCCGCGGUAAUACGUAGGGCGCAAGCGUUGUCCGGAAUUAUUGGGCGUAAAGAGCUCGUAGGCGGUCUGUCGCGUCUGCUGUGAAAUCCCGAGGCUCAACCUCGGGCUUGCAGUGGGUACGGGCAGACUGGAGUGCGGUAGGGGAGAAUGGAAUUCCUGGUGUAGCGGUGGAAUGCGCAGAUAUCAGGAGGAACACCGAUGGCGAAGGCAGUUCUCUGGGCCGUAACUGACGCUGAGGAGCGAAAGCGUGGGGAGCGAACAGGAUUAGAUACCCUAGUAGUCCACGCCGUAAACGUUGGGCGCUAGUUGUGGGGACCAUUCCACGGUCUCCGUGACGUAGCUAACGCAUUAAGCGCCCCGCCUGGGGAGUACGGCCGCAAGGCUAAAACUCAAAGGAAUUGACGGGGGCCCGCACAAGCGGCGGAGCAUGCGGAUUAAUUCGAUGCAACGCGAAGAACCUUACCAAGGCUUGACAUAUAGAGGAAAAGGCUGGAAACAGUCUCCCCGCAAGGUCUCUAUACAGGUGGUGCAUGGUUGUCGUCAGCUCGUGUCGUGAGAUGUUGGGUUAAGUCCCGCAACGAGCGCAACCCUCGUCCUAUGUUGCCAGCGGUUCGGCCGGGAACUCAUGGGAUACUGCCGGGGUCAACUCGGAGGAAGGUGGGGAUGACGUCAAAUCAUCAUGCCCCUUAUGUCUUGGGCUUCACGCAUGCUACAAUGGCCGGUACAAAGGGCUGCAAUACCGCAAGGUGGAGCGAAUCCCAAAAAGCCGGUCUCAGUUCGGAUUGAGGUCUGCAACUCGACCUCAUGAAGUCGGAGUCGCUAGUAAUCGCAGAUCAGCAACGCUGCGGUGAAUACGUUCCCCGGGCCUUGUACACACCGCCCGUCAAGUCAUGAAAGUCGGCAACACCCGAAGCCGGUGGCCCAACCUUUUGGAGGGAGCCGUCGAAGGUGGGGCUGGUAAUAAGACUAAGUCGUACAAGGUAGCCGU
rnacentral:rRNA from 1 species